CUACGAAGGGGGCAAGCGUUGUUCGGAAUAACUGGGCGUAAAGCGCACGUAGGCGGAAUGUUAAGUUAGAGGUGAAAUCCCAGGACUCAACCCUGGAACGGCCUUUAAUACUGGCAAUCUAGAGACCGAGAGAGGUGAGUGGAAUUCCGAGUGUAGAGGUGAAAUUCGUAGAUAUUCGGAGGAACACCAGUGGCGAAGGCGGCUCACUGGCUCGGUACUGACGCUGAGGUGCGAAAGCGUGGGGAGCAAACAGGAUUAGAAACCCUUGUAGUCC
rnacentral:rRNA from 1 species